rnacentral:rRNA from 1 species
GCGUGAUAAAUCGCCCUUUAAUUGGGGGCUCGUAUGAAAGGACAAACGAAAGCUAUACUGUCUCCUAGUAAAAAAUUGAAAUUGUCAUCCAGGUGAAGAGACCUGACUUCCUUCAAAGGACAAGAAGACCCCGUAGAGCUUAAUAUUACAACCAUUUAUAAAAAUAAAUAUACAUAUAAUAUAUUAUCUCUAUACAUGGUACAAUAUUUAGCUGGGGCGGCUAAGGAAAAAAAUCUUCCAUUUAACUCAUAUAUUUGGCAUUACAUGCCUAACUAAUAAUUGACCCUUUUUAAGAUCAGAGAAUACAGCUACCUCGGGGAUAACAGAUUAAUCCUUCUUGAGAGUUCACAUUGACAGAAGGGA